rnacentral:rRNA from 1 species
AUUGAACGCUGGCGGCAGGCCUAACACAUGCAAGUCGAACGAGUGGCGGACGGGUGAGUAAUGUAUGGGAAACUGCCCGAUGGAGGGGGAUAACUAAUGGAAACGGUAGCUAAUACCGCAUACCAUCGGAUGUGCCCAGAUGGGAUUAGCUAGUUGGUGGGGUAAUGGCUCACCUAGGCGACGAUCCCUAGCUGGUCUGAGAGGAUGACCAGCCACACUGGAACUGAGACACGGUCCAGACUCCUACGGGAGGCAGCAGUGGGGAAUAUUGGACAAUGGGCGCAAGCCUGAUGCAGCCAUGCCGCGUGUAUGAAGAAGGCCUUCGGGUUGUAAAGUACUUUUAUCGAGGAAGCGUUACUCGAAGAAGAAGCACCGGCUAACUCCGUGCCAGCCGCCGCGGUAAUAC